AGAAUCAACGCUGGCGGCGUGCCUAACACAUGCAAGUCGAACGCGAAAGUCCCGCAAGGGGCAAGUAGAGUGGCGAACGGGUGAGUAAUACGUGGGUGACCUACCUCUGCGUGGGGGAUAACGUCUCGAAAGGGACGCUAAUACCGCAUGACAUCCUGCCUUUUGAUAGGCGGAGAUCAAAGCCGGGGACCGCAAGGCCUGGCGCGUGAUGAGGGCCCACGUCCGAUUAGCUAGUUGGUGGGGUAAUGGCCUACCAAGGCGACGAUC
rnacentral:rRNA from 1 species